GUUGCUCCUUCUCCUUUACUAAUUGAGUUGUCCCACUAUUCAUGUGAUUUCUCAUUAGAAGGAGCAUAAAUCAAGAAAAGCCAGUUUUAAACAGCAUGGUGCCCUUUUCUCUGGCAUUGAGUUACCUGUCUGCUGGCAUAUGU